rnacentral:sRNA from 1 species
GCAUCAGUUUUCAAGAUGGAGGACACCGUCACUGCCGUCUCGGGGUUCUUCUUUCAACUGCUGCAACGCUUCGGUUGCAACACAUGUGGGGUGUCUG